rnacentral:rRNA from 1 species
GAUGAAUGCUGGCGGCGUGCCUAAUACAUGCAAGUCGAGCGGUAACAGGAGUAGUUUACUACUUGCUGACGAGCGGCGGACGGCUGAGUAACGCGUGGGAACAUGCCCCAAAGUGAGGGAUAAGCACCGGAAACGGUGUCUAAUACCGCAUAUGGUCUUCGGAUUAAAGGAUUUAUCCGCUUUGGGAGUGGCCCGCGUACGAUUAGUUUGUUGGUGAGGUAAUGGCUCACCAAGGCGACGACGGGUAGCCGGCCUGAGAGGGCGACCGGCCACACUGGAACUGAGACACGGUCCAGACUCCUACGGGAGGCAGCAGUGGGGAAUAUUGCACAAUGGGCGCAAGCCUGAUGCAGCAACGCCGCGUGGGGGAUGAAGGCCUUCGGGUUGUAAACCCCUUUUAGCAGGGAAGAAGCGAAAGUGACGGUACCUGCAGAAAAAGCGCCGGCUAACUACGUG